GAUGAACGCUGGCGGCGUGCUUAACACAUGCAAGUCGAACGGUGAAGGCGGAGCUUGCUCUGCUGGAUCAGUGGCGAACGGGUGAGUAACACGUGAGCAAUCUGCCCCUGACUCUGGGAUAAGCGCUGGAAACGGCGUCUAAUACUGGAUACGAGCUGCGAAGGCAUCUUCAGCAGCUGGAAAGAACUUCGGUCAGGGAUGAGCUCGCGGCCUAUCAGCUUGUUGGUGAGGUAACGGCUCACCAAGGCGUCGACGGGUAGCCGGCCUGAGAGGGUGACCGGCCACACUGGGACUGAGACACGGCCCAGACUCCUACGGGAGGCAGCAGUGGGGAAUAUUGCACAAUGGGCGAAAGCCUGAUGCAGCAACGCCGCGUGAGGGACGACGGCCUUCGGGUUGUAAACCUCUUUUAGCAGGGAAGCAGCGAAAGUGACGUUACCUGCAGAAAAAGCGCCGGCUAACUACGUG
rnacentral:rRNA from 1 species